rnacentral:rRNA from 1 species
CCUACGGGGGGCAGCAGUGAGGAAUAUUGGUCAAUGGUCGGGAGACUGAACCAGCCAAGCCGCGUGAGGGAUGAAGGUACAGAGUAUCGUAAACCUCUUUUGUCAGGGAACAAAGGCGGGGACGCGUCCCCGGAUGAGUGUACCUGAAGAAAAAGCAUCGGCUAACUCCGUGCCAGCAGCCGCGGUAAUACGGAGGAGGCGAGCGUUAUCCGGCUUUAUUGGGGUAAAAGGGUGCGUGGGCGGUCUGUUAAGUGCGCGGUGAAGGCCCGGGGCCCACCCCCGGCCCGCCGUUGAAACUGGCAGUCUCGAGUUGGAGAGAAGUAUGCGGAAUGCGCGGUGUAGCGGUGAAAUGCAUAGAUAUCGCGCAGAACUCCGAUUGCGAAGGCAGCAUGCCGGCUCCACACUGACGCUGAGGCACGAAAGCGUGGGUAUCGAACAGGAUUAGAUACCCCAGUAGUC